ACGGGAGGCAGCAGUGGUGAAUAUUGCACAAUGGGCGAAGGCCUGAUGCAGCGACGCCGCGUGAGCGAAGAAGUAUUUCGGUAUGUAAAGCUCUAUCAGCAGGGAAGAUAAUGACGGUACCUGACUAAGAAGCACCGGCUAAAUACGUGCCAGCAGCCGCGGUAAUACGUAUGGUGCAAGCGUUAUCCGGAUUUACUGGGUGUAAAGGGAGCGUAGGCGGUUUUACAAGUCUGAUGUGAAAGCCCGGGGCUUAACUCCGGUACUGCAUUGGAAACUGUAGAACUAGAGUGUCGGAGGGGUAAGUGGAAUUCCUAGUGUAGCGGUGAAAUGCGUAGAUAUUAGGAGGAACACCAGUGGCGAAGGCGGCUUACUGGACGAUUACUGACGCUGAGGCUCGAAAGCAUGGGGAGCAAACAGGAUUAGAUACCCUGGUA
rnacentral:rRNA from 1 species